GGAUUAUGGCUCAGUGGUAGAGUGCUCCUCUAUCACAUGUGAGGCCCUGGGUUCAAUCCUCAGCACCA
rnacentral:tRNA from 1 species